ACAUUGCAGUUUGGUGGUGGGCUCGCUAAGGCGGCCUCGACCAAUCGUGUUCAAAGACGACGAGUGAGCCGCCCGAGAUUUCGAGGCGGCUUUUUU
rnacentral:ncRNA from 17 species